CCUUAUGCCAGGAACUGUGCGGGAUACAAAAUGUAAGAGAAGGCUGGAAUAGAGCAUCUCCUGGGGAAAUGAGAGCCAGAGAUACAGCGGUGCCCCAUGGAGACAGCCAGCUGGUGUUUGGUAGUUCCUUGUGGAAAGGCUGUACUUUGAACCACCUAAGCUAAAGAUUCUUUUGAGAACAAGGGCUAGCCUGUGGUUUCAUGGCCUUUCUUCCAUUUGGGGUUCUUGCCAAGUGGAAUUUAAAUGACCUCUUAUCAAGAUGGAUAAACCCAAGUUUCCCAGUGCUGGAAUACAGAAAAUGGAUGGACAAGAUGUCUUUUUGUCACUUCCAGCUGGAUCUACCAUGAAAGACGUCAGAGUCCAGGAAGAGAGACUGACUGGGCAACAUGUUAUUCAGAAUUAGAGAAGAUGAUGUGGUGAUGGAAGAAGAGGUCAGAGAGGGAGAUUUGAAGAUGUUGCAGUUCUGGCCUUCAAGAUGGAGUCAGGGGCUAUCUUCAAGAGAGAAGAUCUUGAUCUGUGGCCCAGGCUGCAGUACAGUG
rnacentral:lncRNA from 1 species